UACGGAGGGUGCAAGCGUUAUCCGGAUUCACUGGGUUUAAAGGGCGCGUAGGAGGGCAGGUAAGUCAGUGGUGAAAUCCCCGAGCUUAACUUGGGAACUGCCGUUGAUACUAUCUGUCUUGAAUGUUGUGGAGGUGAGCGGAAUAUGUCAUGUAGCGGUGAAAUGCUUAGAUAUGACAUAGAACACCAAUUGCGAAGGCAGCUCGCUACACAAUUAUUGACUCUGAGGCACGAAAGCGUGGGGAUCAAACAGG
rnacentral:rRNA from 1 species